UUAAUAGCACAAAGGUCAUUGCAUCAAUUUAAAUAAAAAGAAAACAAAAUAAACUUCCCCUUCCUCCCUUUCGGGCUCGGCCCAAAAUCCUCUCUCCUUCCCCUCCCGCGGCCCGGCUUGCCUCCCCUUUUUGGCGCAAGUCUGCUUUUCCUCCCUCCCGGCCUCCCCUCUCACUCAGGCCGACAGGUGGGACCCGUGGACCCCACCUGUCAUCCCCAACCUCCGGCCAGCUCCAACCGCCGCCCACGCCGCCCACUCCCUCCGCCGAUCCCGCACCUCCCCUCGUCCCAACCGGCGUGGACCCGAGACCCCUUCCACCUCGCGACCACAUCCCGCCCCACUCCCCCUCUCUCCCCGCGGGAAUCAACGCCACGCCGAGCCGCCACACCCCCACGACGCCGCCCCACUUCCCCUCGAAAUCCGCCGCUCCCCGGCCCUCUCCUCGCCCCCUUGAGCUAUAAAAUCAAUCCCCGUGGACUCCUCUUCCUUUUUCCCCGUUUUCCCGAGUCCCCCACGCCCUCUACCGAGCUCUCCACGCCGAUCCCCUUCGCCGCCGCUCGCCGGCGAUCUCCAGCCGCCCGCCACCGCCGCUCCCGUCGCUGCCGCGCUGCGCCGCCACCACCUAUAGCAUCACACCACCCCACCGCACCCCGGCAUCCACUCCAUCUCCCUCCUCCACCGCCGGAACCACCUUCCCAUCGCGAGGCCGAGCCACUACCGCCACACACCGCCUUCAGCCGGCCGCUGCCGCUGCGUUAGUCGUCGCCGCACCUCGCCGCUUGCGCCGUCGGCAACGCCGUGCCAAGCUCUACCCCGGCCUCCGCUCCGUUUCCCCAUUCCACCACCGCAACCACCCUUCCACCGUGCAUCCCGAGCCACCUCCACCAUACGCCGCCUCCAGCCGUGUGCCACCGUCGCCUUAGCCGCCGCCGCGUCGCUCCGUCUUCACCUCUCGCCUCGCAGCGCCGUGCAGCACCUCGGUCACCGUUGUUCAUCGCCGGAAACCCACCGGAACGUGGUACCUCUCGGUCGCCGGUCUUGCCGGCCCUCGGCCGCGGCUCCGCCAUGGUCGGGCGUCGUCGGACCGCCGUUCCCGUCGCCUCCCGUGUCGGCCGCCGCCAUCCUUUCCGCCGCCGGUCGCCUCCCCAUGGUCGUCCCGUCGCCGGCGCUCCUCGCGUGUAGUUUCCGUCGUUUCGGAAGUCCGCGGUCGCGAG